rnacentral:rRNA from 1 species
UUGGUGGGCCUAAAUGGACUCUAUUAAGCGGCACAUAGUUAGCCGGGGCCUGGUAGUCCACGCCGUAAACGAUGAGUGCUAAGUGUUAGAGGGUUUCCGCCCUUUAGUGCUGCAGCUAACGCAUUAAGCACUCCGCCUGGGAAGUACGGUCGCAAGAUUAAAACUCAAAGAAAUUGACGGGGGCCUGCACAAGCGGUGGAGUAUGUGGCUUAAUUCGAUGCAACGCGAAGAACCUUACCUGGCCUUGACAUGCAAGUAGUAGAACCAUGAAAGUGGGACGAUCCCGCAAGGGAAGCUUGCACAGGUGCUGCAUGGCUGUCGUCAGCUCGUGUCGUGAGAUGUUGGGUUAAGUCCCGCAACGAGCGCAACCCUUGUGUCCUGUUGCCACUCCUUCGAGAGAAGGAGCACUCUGGACAGACUGCCUCGCUUAAACGAGGAGGAAGGUGGGGAUGACGUCAAGUCAGUAUGGCCCUUACGGCCAGGGCUGCACACGUACUACAAUGCAUGGCACAAAGGGACGCUAGACCGUCAGGUGGA